AAGAGACAGCAGUCGCCGCGGGAAUACGUAGGUGGCAAGCGUUGUCCGGAAUUAUUGGGCGUAAAGGGCUCGCAGGCGGUUUCUUAAGUCUGAUGUGAAAGCCCCCGGCUCAACCGGGGAGGGUCAUUGGAAACUGGGAAACUUGAGUGCAGAAGAGGAGAAUGGAAUUCCACGUGUAGCGGUGAAAUGCGUAGAGAUGUGGAGGAACACCAGUGGCGAAGGCGACUCUCUGGUCUGUAACUGACGCUGAGGAGCGAAAGCGUGGGGAGCGAACAGGAUUAGAUACCCGUGUAGUCCCUGUCUCUUAUAC
rnacentral:rRNA from 1 species